rnacentral:lncRNA from 1 species
CUCGAGAGUGAAUCGACGCCAUUUUGAAACAUUAGCGUCAUAUGUUUGUGGCAUUUAAUUAAUAAAUUUAAUCGUUUAAAAUAAUUAACGAGAAGAGGAGUCAAAAGUAUCAUUAGGUUUCAUCACAGAAAGUCGUUAGCAUUAGAAGUUUAAUAAGUGAAAGAAAUUGUUCAGAAAGUGCCUUGAAAGCUUUAUUAAAGAGAUGUCAAUCUGUUGGGAGAACAAAAUUAGUUUCAAGGACUCGUAACCGUCACGAGGCACGUAUCCGUUAUUUUCAAGUUUUAGAAACGUUUCUUCUAUACGUAUGCAGCUUAUUUUUGAGUGGAAUUUACAUCAGAAACCAUUAAAUCAUCCGGGCAACGAGAUCUCUAUCUUGAAAAUUUAGAACACCAAAAGAACCAUUUAGCGCUAAAUGAUAACUAAAGAAUUAAUUGUAAAUACGUGGGAAGAAGAAAUAACUCAUUAAAGGAAAACAAUCGUUAAACAAUUCUUUAUAUAAUAAAGAAUUCUGAAAAUACAUGAAGACAAAUGUCAUCGGGGAAAACUUCAUAAAGUUCAAGGUCUAAGCAUCUUAUCUAUCGGUCACACGUUUCUCUUGACACGGUAAGUAUCCAAACUGUUUAAAAUUGAUUCGGCCCACGAGCAUAAUUAUAUGUUACUACAGUGCAAUCAUUCCAGAUUGAUAGCUAGGAGACGUUCAAAAUUUAUACAAUUAAAAUGCUUAAUGCUUUUAAUUAAUUCCUACGUCGAAAUUUAUGUGAAGGAAACUUCACAAAAAUGUAUCGUUCUCUCAAAGUCGAUAAAAUCGAAUUUAAUAAUAAAUAAGAAAUUAAAUAGUGUUUUAUCACGUGGAAAAAAUCUUCGGAAU